ACGACUCCGACUCCGACGCCGACUCCGUCGUUACUGAAAACCAGCCUUGUAAGGAAACAUAAAUUAUACUCUAAUAUGUUGAUUAUUUUCUUUGCAGAGUGUAGUAAACUUUGCUUGAAAGAUCUGAGCGAUGAUAUCACCGUAGAAUUGAGUCUAAGGCUACAAGCUGAUGGGGCUGCGUUACGAAAAUUCUAUCAAUUUUUCGGUUUCAAAACGAGAGGCCGGUAUCUGUCAAGAUUCCCAUUAGAAGAAUUUAAAAAAAUGUUUCCCGACACUACAGUCAGCGUGUUGAAAGAGUGUUUUGAGGUCCUGCGGUUGUACGAUCUCGUUGAGAUUCUGGAAAAAGUGAAACCACGUUCCCUCCGCCCCGCUGUUUCCCCAGAGCAAAUAGAAAAAUUGCGGAGAGCAGAUGAUCGGCCCACAAAGUAUCACAGUGAUGUAGCAGUCUUGGUUGUCAAUCACACUGUCGGCCACGAAGAGGACCUUGUUGUCAAGGAAAACGCAGAAAAGAUUGAAAAAUUUCUUAAAGAUCUGAAUUCGCGGAACGAAGUGACGAUAAUAUCAUUGGCUAGUCCACAAGAGACCCGUGAGUUUCUGAUGGAGCUAAAAGAGAGAAACCGCAGAAUAGGAUACCACCGUUUCUCAGAAGAAAGACCCAAGAGUAUACUUCAACAGAGGGCGCGUUUACAUGAGGAAUUGGAGAAAGUAACACAGACGGAGAUAGGGCGUAAACAAAGACAGAGACUGCAACGGCUACUGCAGUUUAGAGGUGAAGUGGUAAACGCUGAAAAAGCGGCAAAAAGGGAUAUGGAAAAGCUGCAAGAGCUAGAGAAGGAGAAUACCAAAGCUAUAUCAACGGCUAUGGACAAAUGGAUUCACAAUCAAGAGAAAUUCACCUGUGUUGCGGUAUUUACAAUCAGUGAAGACGAGUUGUACACUGGAGCAGUUUUGGAAGAAUGUAUUGUUGAGAAGUUGGCAUUAAUUCCAGAUCAUGCCAAACUCGUGGUUAGCCCUCGCGCCACAUGGAAAAGCAGUGUUGAAGUUCCUGAAACUCUUCAUGUAGUGUAUCGUGAUCGCGGAGUAGUACCAGUCAUCACUCGGAUGAUUGAGAUUUUCAACAAGCGUUGGCAAACAUUGGAUCUUAUUUCCAUGAUGCAAGAAUUAAAAAGAUCUGAAGCCACAGCUUAUCGGUCAAAGAUUUUCAGAGUCAAGGAUUUUCAGAGUAGGUUUUAUGGGGGUCCUUGCAUGUCUAUCAAGGGCGAUAGUUUGUCUAGCCUUCCGACAUUUCAGAAAAAAGAAGAGGAGCAUUCCUCUUAAAUGACAUGUACCGUGUGUUUAGCGCUUGGUUACCGACUGAUUCUAAGCUAGCAAGUUCUGCAAUUGUUUACAGGUUUAGUCACUGCCAGCGCCCUCUUUCUUAUUUUUCGUCAGUAAUUUACGCAAACCCUACACGUUUCCACAGUACAGGCUAUCAAAGCGUUUUUUAGCUCCCGGUGAACCUUCACUUUACAAAGUUAGUCGUCUAAUUUUCAGUAAUCUAAAUACAGCGGAAUUCAGAACGGUUUUCAAUUGAGUCUUAUUCAGAAUUUUUUUUUAUUAAUUCUGUUUGCCUCACUUCGCCCUGUGAUUGGCUUACAAAAUUCGUUUUUACUGGACCGGACAUGAGAAAGGUCAAAGCCGAUUUUGGAUAUAUUAGAUUUCCCGCGUUUUCAUUGGCGUUACUUGUAUUUGAUUCUUGCUAUCAGUGGUUCAUUGCAUUGUUUGUGCUGAUUGCACUUAGCAUCGUUUAUUGGAUUCGUUUUGUUGUUUGACUCUCAAUUGAAAACCGCUCUUAGUAUACUGGUUUAGUUGUUAUGAGCGGAUUACUAUAUAUUUAGUGCUCACUGUCAUGUUGUUAGACUCAGUCAAACAAGCUGCAUUCUGUGACGUGUACUUUUGCUUUCGUAACACGCACAAUGAGUGAAUUAUAGUUAAGCCUAUCCUUUGUGAGAGUCUAUGAUAAAUAAAUUAGGUUUUUUCGAACUCCGUGCGCGUUUACUUUGUUAGGCUUGAAAACUUGGAAAAAGAAAUCCAGGUCAUUUACGGCCAUGUUUACCGGUUUGUCACUUGACCGGCUGACUGGACCUCUUAUAGUGACAUGCCUCGCGGUUAGGUCUUUCCCGUUUUUUGUUGCCGUCCCCGCAAAUUUUUAAUUUUUCGGUCUUUCCAAGUCAGGGUAGAAGCCAACAAUGCCAUUGAUAUGUUCUAGAUCAUUUUUAGUCUGCUAUUUCUUACCUGUCUUACGUUCAGUUAAAUCCUCUGAGCACGCGCUUUUCUUAGUG